GGUUUGCCAACGGGCCACAGGAGGCAGGCCGCAUGGUCACACUGCGGUUUUAAAUGACCCUUCUUCUGGCCUCUAGGUCGAGUUGGAACUUCAUAUAGUGGGAACCAGGCUUUGAGAGGGGUAAGGUAAGAAAGGAGGGAGAGGAGGGAGUGGUUUGUAACCUGUCGACUAUAGUUCUACGUCAAUCAUAACAAUUUUUGUAAGGUUAUGUAGUUUGGCUGAUAGAUAGGCAGGCUACCUAGUUUUCAAUAAUAAGGAAGUAAAUAAACAAAAGAUAGAUGAAAUGGGGCCUCUUUAUAUGAGAAAAGGGGAU
rnacentral:sRNA from 1 species